CAUGUGGGUCAUCUAUCUAGACAGAAUGGUUGUUGCCUGGUACUUCUGAAGGAAUUAACAUCUGAUUGAGCUCCAUGUAUGCAGAGAGGACAAGGUGCCCAUCAAAUCAUGGUGUUGCAUUGCAGUUUCUCCCGAGUGAAGGACCUACCAGAAGCCUCUCUUGGAAAAGUUAAAGAGACGCUAAUUAAAAGAAUACAGUAUGUCCCUGAUGAGGGACUGUUGACAAAGACCUGACUCCACGAGUCAUUGGAGCAGCUCCUUACCAAGAUGCAAGAUGUAACAGAUCUGAUCUGGAAAUCACCUUAAUUGCUGAAAGACCACCACUUCCCUCCAAGAGACACAACAAUGCUACUUUUUUUCUGGAUGAGGAGGUGAGCUCCAGCCUCUCCCUGGAAGAGAGGGCUGGCAGCAGCGCUGAGCUGAGAUGUGGGGUCUGCACAGGGGCCCAUUGGCUGAAGAGCCAUGGAAUAAGUUGCCCUCUGGAAGCGGAUGUCACUGCUGACUCUUUGGGGAGCUAAUAUGACGAGCGUAGACCUGAUGCUUGUCUUUCAGAUGGAUAGAGUUAGAUCCUGGAUUGUGGAGGACUAAUGCUUCCAGGCAAGCAAAGCCUGCAGCAUCCUUUUGUUCCUGGUGCAUUCAAUGGGCAGUGCAUUGACUCAGCCUUUUACUCAAAGGACACGAGGAUGCUGUAGAUUUCUCCAUUUGACCAGCUGGAUUUGCACCUGAGUUUUGAUCCCAUGGCUCCAGCUGAAGCUCUCCUUACUUCUGCAGAGAUUGUCCCCUAUGCCAGCAGGACCACCUGAGCCAUUGGCCAUCACCCAGCAGGGAAAGGAUCCCGGGCAGCUUGUCAGGCAUGUUAUGGUGGUCACGUGUGUGAUCUGCCUCCCAAGAGGAAGACAUUUGGGUUGCUGUACCAGAGCCAUGGGACGAGCUUUGCUCACGCCAGCAAGCAGCGUGCCCACCUAGUCCCUGGAGAUCUGGUAAGCAGUUAGCACUUGCUAAGCGGAUAUUGCUUCAUCUUCUGUUAUUACUUGUGUUUGCUAGGUCAAACUGACACCAACUGGUCUGCCACGGCCACAUCAGAGUACCUAUCCAGAGUCUCUGGAGAGCUGCUGAACUGUAAGGAUGUGCAAAGCCCAUAUUCCUGUGACUGCCUAUGUUUGCUAGGUCAGACUGACACUGAUCUGCAGAGAGGAGCUAUGGGCACACCUUUGUUUUACUCUGGAGGAAUAUCCUCUAUCACUCCAGGCCUUAAUUCCUCAUCAGUGAUGAACUGCUGGUGGUAUCCACAGACUGUGGCUCUGUGAUUUGGUGUGGUGGGAAAGCAGAAGCCCCAAGGCACACUGGAGGUGUAACGUUCUGCUAUAAGAACCGAAGAUACAGAAGUGAUAUUAUUGGCAGCUUGGCUGCUGACUGGGUGAGCCCUACAAAAUUCCUUUGAUGUUUUAGUCAUAUUUGAUAGGAAUAGGGCCAGACAAAAAAAAAAAACUCCAGAGUCUUCCAAAUCCUAAAAUGCAAAAACAAAGCGUUGGACCCUUUCAUUUCCUUCACAGUUCAGAGACUGCAAGGAAAAUGAUUUGAAGCAUUUCCUUCUUCUAACACCAAAACAGAGCCUGGCUUUUACAUAAGGAGAAAACUAUUUGUCGAGUGCUGCAAGCUGCGCUUUGCUAUCACACCGUUUCACAGAACCAGAAGAUACAAAUCAAUGGGGAAAUGUACAGUUGUAGUCCUGUGAUUUCUAUAUCUGCUUUUGCAAUGAUUAUGAUGACAGGACACAUCUCUUUCUUGCCCCCUCGAAGAUUUAUUUUUCUCUGCCCAGCCCUUUUUCUUAUGUUUCUGUAGUUCUCCGAAUAUAAUCUGCUGCCCUUAAUCACGUUUAAAAAAUCACACUGACUUGAAAGGAAAAUGUUAAGUUCUUCAAUGAAUGGAAAAAUACUUCUGUUGUUUAAAUGUAAGUAAUUAAACUGAGGACUUUCUCCAAAGUAAACCUUGACAAU
rnacentral:lncRNA from 7 species